rnacentral:tRNA from 1 species
GGCCCGAUGGUGUAGCGGUAUAACAUCACGGUCUCCAUGAUUGGCCGAAGUCGCGGGUUCAAAUCCCGCCUGAGCCG